CAGUCGCCACGGUAAUACGAAGGGGGCUAGCGUUGUUCGGAUUUACUGGGCGUAAAGCGCACGUAGGCGGACUUUUAAGUCAGGGGUGAAAUCCCGGGGCUCAGCCCCAGAACUGCCUUUGAUACUGGAAGUCUUGAGUAUGGUAGAGGUGAGUGGAAUUCCGAGUGUAGAGGUGAAAUUCGUAGAUAUUCGGAGGAACACCAGUGGCGAAGGCGGCUCACUGGACCAUUACUGACGCUGAGGUGCGAAAGCGUGGGGAGCAAACAGGAUUAGAUACCCCGGUAGUCCCUGUCUCUUAUAC
rnacentral:rRNA from 1 species